AGAGUUGAUCCUGGCUAGGAUGAACGCUAGCGACAGGCCUAACACAUGCAAGUCGAGGGGCAGCGCGGAGUAGCAAUACUUGGCGGCGACCGGUGCACGGGUGAGUAACACGUAUGCAACCAACCCAUAACAGGGGGAUAACCCGGAGAAAUCCGGACUAAUACCGCAUAAGACCACGAUAUCGCAUGAUAUAGAGGUCAAAUAUUUAUAGGUUAUGGACGGGCAUGCGUCUGAUUAGCUGGUUGGCGGGGUAACGGCCCACCAAGGCAUCGAUCAGUAGGGGUUCUGAGAGGAAGGUCCCCCACAUUGGAACUGAGACACGGUCCAAACUCCUACGGGAGGCAGCAGUGAGGAAUAUUGGUCAAUGGGCGAAAGCCUGAACCAGCCAUGUCGCGUGAAAGGAUGAAGGUCCUAUGGAUUGUAAACUUCUUUUGCAGGAGGGUAAAGUGAGCUACGUGUAGUUCAUUGCAAGUACCCUGCGAAUAAGCAUCGGCUAACUCCGUGCCAGCCGCCGC
rnacentral:rRNA from 1 species